rnacentral:rRNA from 1 species
GGGGGUAGUACAUGCAAGUCGAGCGAACAGACAAGGAGCUUGCUCCUUUGACGUUAGCGGCGGACGGGUGAGUAACACGUGGGUAACCUACCUAUAAGACUGGGAUAACUUCGGGAAACCGGAGCUAAUACCGGAUAAUAUUUCGAACCGCAUGGUUCGAUAGUGAAAGAUGGUUUUGCUAUCACUUAUAGAUGGACCCGCGCCGUAUUAGCUAGUUGGUAAGGUAACGGCUUACCAAGGCGACGAUACGUAGCCGACCUGAGAGGGUGAUCGGCCACACUGGAACUGAGACACGGUCCAGACUCCUACGGGAGGCAGCAGUAGGGAAUCUUCCGCAAUGGGCGAAAGCCUGACGGAGCAACGCCGCGUGAGUGAUGAAGGUCUUCGGAUCGUAAAACUCUGUUAUUAGGGAAGAACAUACGUGUAAGUAACUGUGCACGUCUUGACGGUACCUAAUCAGAAAGCCACGGCUAACUACGUGCCAGCAGCCGCGGUAAUACGUAGGUGGCAAGCGUUAUCCGGAAUUAUUGGGCGUAAAGCGCGCGUAGGCGGUUUUUUAAGUCUGAUGUGAAAGCCCACGGCUCAACCGUGGAGGGUCAUUGGAAACUGGAAAACUUGAGUGCAGAAGAGGAAAGUGGAAUUCCAUGUGUAGCGGUGAAAUGCGCAGAGAUAUGGAGGAACACCAGUGGCGAAGGCGACUUUCUGGUCUGUAACUGACGCUGAUGUGCGAAAGCGUGGGGAUCAAACAGGAUUAGAUACCCUGGUAGUCCACGCCGUAAACGAUGAGUGCUAAUUGUUAGGGGGUUUCCGCCCCUUAGUGCUGCAGCUAACGCAUUAAGCACUCCGCCUGGGGAGUACAACCGCAAGGUUGAAACUCAAAGGAAUUGACGGGGACCCGCACAACCGGUGGAGCAUGUGGUUUAAUUCGAACCAACCCGAAAAACCUUACCAAAUCUUAACAUCCUUUGACAACUCUAGAAAUAAACCUUUCCCCUUCGGGGGACAAAUUGACAGGUGGUGCAUGGUUUUCCUCACCUCCUGUCCUGAAAUGUUGGGUUAAUUG